rnacentral:tRNA from 1 species
UCAUCCAUGGUGUAAUGGUAGCACGUCUGACUCCAAAUCAGAAGGUUGUGCUGUGUGUUCGGUUGACCAGUUACAGUGUUUUUGUAUGGUUGAA